UACAGAGGGGGCAAGCGUUGUUCGGAAUUACUGGGCGUAAAGAGCUCGUAGGUGGUUUGUCGCGUUGUUCGUGAAAACUCACAGCUCAACUGUGGGCGUGCGGGCGAUACGGGCAGACUUGAGUACUGCAGGGGAGACUGGAAUUCCUGGUGUAGCGGUGGAAUGCGCAGAUAUCAGGAGGAACACCGGUGGCGAAGGCGGGUCUCUGGGCAGUAACUGACGCUGAGGAGCGAAAGCGUGGGAAGCGAACAGG
rnacentral:rRNA from 1 species